rnacentral:tRNA from 1 species
GCAGCGGUGCUUUGGCUCAAUGGUAGAGUGUCUGCUUCACAUGCAAAUGGUCCCAGGAUCAGUCCCCAGUACCUGCA